rnacentral:RNase_P_RNA from 1 species
AAAGCCAAGCAGCCGCGGGCACAAGGCGAAAGCCUGUGCGUGAGGAAAGUCCGGGCUCCACAGGAUAACGGGUAACGCCCGCCGGGGGUGACCCCAGGACAAGUGCAACAGAGAUAUACCGCCUGCCUUUCGGCAGGUAAGGGUGGAAAGGCGAGGUAAGAGCUCACCCAUCGUCCGGAGACGGAACGGUGCUGUAAACUCUAUUCGGAGCAACGCCGUGGAGGGACAUACGACCGGCCCGGUCGUCCCGAGGAGGCGGCUGGAACGCAUCGGCAACGGUGCGUCUAGAUAGAUGGCUGCGCAGACAGAACCCGGCUUACAGGCUUUCUCGC